GUAAUUUUAAAAGAUUGCACGCUCCUCCACAUAUUGCGGCGUUUGCUUGAUUUUUGCGUUUCAUUUCAGCGAUUGCAAAAUCCCGGAGGGACUGUAUAUUGUAACGUCUUUCUCCAAGUCAGUCCCUCUGGGAUUUUGUGAUUGUAGACAUGAACGCAAAAUCAGGCAAAUGCCACAAUAUUAGCAGGAGCAAUUUUUUAAAAUUACCAGCAGAUUCGGGCCGAGACGCGUCACGUGACGUGAUCAUGAUGCGCGUUCAGCGAAAUCCCUCUUCGAUUCACGCGCGUCGAACACGAGUAGAGCGAAAAAGGUCUUGUUUACCAACAAACGUCACCGUGAAAGACCGACGGAACAAAUUCGUGCGAUUGCGAUUUCGCCAAUUCAAGUAGUUUCGCAAAUUUCGAAAAAAAAGAAGAAAAAAAGCAGCAGCAAAAUCGAACAUUUUUGUCCGCGACGUUCACAAAAAAAUCCUGUAUGGACAGGGAAGCGGACGUUUAUUUAACGGGAAGUAAGUUUUCCGUCACAGGAGGGUCUUGAGGACAUGCAGCGUUACGUUUUCUCAGUCACGUGACAUACUGCUUUGUUUUUAUUUUGCUUUCUUCCUUGUUUCCUGAUUAACUCGUGGCUUGUGAAGGAACAUAAGUGAGGACAGCUUUUCCACAAUAUGAAAUGGAAGUGGAUAAAAAGUAUGAGAGACAGAGAGAGAGAGAGAGAGAGAGAGCGAGAUCAUCGAUGUGUCAAAUCGCUGUGGUAUAAGAGGAAUAAAACACUGGGCGUGCUGUUACAGGCAAAUGGUCCACUUUGAUCGUUGAUUAUUUUCCUAUAAGAGCAUGCUCCCAAAUGUGUGUUAGUUUAAUUCAGCAACGUACCCUGCUGUGUUCCACGAGGCCAGAUCUCAUGUUGAACACGCUUGGUGGUUUUCUCUGUGAGGAAAAGAUAGUGCACACACACACACACACACACAAAAAACCUCAGUCAAACCUUUUAAUGUUUUUUUUUUCUUUUCUGUAAACAGUGCUAUAGUUUGUUUCAGGCACUGAAUGUAUAGUAGUAAGCUGUUACCUUUCUGUGAUUUUAGACGCACAACGGUGGGAAUUGUGUUAAUAUUGCGUACUUCCUAAAACGGAAAAAAAAAAAGUUCGCUAAUGUUUCAGUGUACUUUGAAAUAUCAACUCAGGUGAGCACGUUAAAACAAACAGAAACGUUUUGCUUGUUUUAAAUUCAAUUCAGUGCUUUAGCAUUUAAAACCUGAACGGUUAGUGAAACUGUUCUCGGAGCAUGAGGCUUUUACCGACAGAAAGGGAACGUUGAGAUUUCUUAAUUCAGUUAAUAAUUGGCUAGAAUUGGCUGUAUCAGACCGGCUGUAGAUAAUAGAGAAGGGGAAAAAAAGCAAGUCAUGAAAAUAAGCUGCUUGAAAUGAUCGUUAUCGUGUAAAUCUGAUUGAAUUGUGACUCAAAGAUUAAGUGCUCACCCCUCCCCCUCCCCCUUCUUGCAGACACGGGUGUGUUUGGUCUUGAUUAGGAGGGUUGGGCAAUUUUACGUCAAAAAUAACUAAAUCAAUCAAUCUCACUAUCAGACUGCACUUUAAGCAGUAACGAUAUACUAUUAUCUGAUAAUAGUGUGUGUCAGCAGCUUUGGACUUGAUGAAGACUCAGAAACGCAAAGUCUUACACCAUUUCAGAUAUAUUUACUGAUGUUAAGAGGGAAGGCCUAUAUAUAAAAUUUAAAAAAAUACUAUAUCAUAUGGGGAGUCAUUUGAAGAAGCUUUGUGAAAAUAUCUCGACCUUGAGGACAAACUCUAUAAAUGAGUGUGAAAUAACCGAUAGUACUGUAAGGCCUCAACGGUUUACAAAACAGACUCUAAACUCAUUUGGUGGACCCGAUAAAGUUUUUUUUUUUUUUCUUUAGAAUCCGUGGAGGAAAUUGUGCACCGUACUUUAAUCGAAACAUUCAUCUAGUCUCUGAUAUUCCAGUGUAGAGGUUUCACAGAAACGGGGUGAACUUUUGCGUCUAUUAUUUGUAAACGAUAGAGAUGAGUGGUUAGCACGUUCGCGUCACACCUCCAGGGCUGUGGGGGUUUCUUCCGAGUACUCCGGUUUCCUCCCCCAGUUCAAAGACAUGCAUGGUAGGUUGAUUGGCAUGUUCAUAGUGUAUGAUUGGGUGUGUGUAUGUGAUUGUGCCCUGGCACCCUGUCCAUGGUGUACCCUGCCUUGUGUCCCAUGCUACCUGGGAUAGGCUCCAGGUUCCCCAUAACCCUGAAGGAUAAGUGGUAUAGAAGAUGGAUGGAUGUGUAAAUGAUUUUGCAAACUAUAUUCGCAAAAUAUAAAAUGCAUGGUCAAUCCGUUUUUGUGUUUAGAAUGUACACUGUACGGCUAAAAGUUUGUGGACACUGUGCUUCUUGAACAUCCCAUUCCAGAUUUAUUAACUUUCUGUUUGUUGUAAUAUCUUCCACUCUUCUGGCAAGGAGUUCCACUUGCUUUUGGAGUGUGGCUGUGCGGAUUUGUGUUCAUUCAGCCACACGAGCAUUAGUGAGGUCAGGCUCUGAAGAGGCCUGGAGUGUUCCAGUUCAUCCCAGAGGUGUUCAGUGGGGUUGAGGUCAGGGCUCUGUGCAGGACUUCAGGAGUUCUUCCACCUUCUUCCAACCUUAACACACCAUGUCUUCAUGGAGCUCGCUUCGUGCACAGGGGCAUUGUCAUGCUGGAACAGUGUUUGGGCCUCUCAGUUCCAGUGAAGGGAAACUGUAGUGCUCCAGCAUACUAAGACAACUUUGUGGCAGUGGUUCGAGGAAGAACCACAUAUGGGUGUGAUGGACAGAACACACUUGGAUUCAGAACAACUUCAGGAAGUAGAAAUACUUAAUUGCAUCUACAGAUUAAUUACAUAUUUGAAAAAUAAAUAAUGUGACAUGAAUGUUAGUGAGAAUGCUGUUGACAGUAAAUGAUUAAUAAACUGGUUAAGAACUGA